rnacentral:lncRNA from 1 species
GUCAGUCCGGGUUACUGUUCAUCCGGGUGGAAAAUAAGGGAUUUCAUGCUAUAAUAGAGUAUUAAGCCUAGAUCAAGCUAAAAGGAACCUUGUACUCAUACAAAAGAGUCCCUAAUACACAUAAAUAGUGAGUUAAUUUAUUAAAAAGAAAAAGAAGAAAGAAAAGAAAAGAUUUAGAAAAAACGGGGGAGUUGAAUCAAUUAAAGUUUCCUAUAUUAUAAUUGGCACGUAGAUUAUAGCCCUUAAUACAAAACUAAAUAUAUUGUAAAUGCAUGUAUCAGUUGGGCAAGAAGCUAGGGAACAAGAGGAAGAAGUUCCCCACUGCCAGCUGUAGAUUUUUGGAGGCGUAUCAGGGCCGUGCCGGAUUGGCAGGUGAGUGGGAGUCAUGUACUUUGCACCAUGAGCAUUCUUAAUUCAUUUUCAUAAAUGUCACUAAGUGUGAAUUGAUUCCACUUGAGCAUAUUGAUUGAUAUUGUAGUAGAUUCCUCUAUAAUCUUGAUUCUCCAUGCUUGAUUAUCCUGUACAUGCAUUUGAGGAAACAUUGAGAGGAAUUACGAGGGGUUGAUGAGUAACCAAAUUGAUUCCGAAUUGUGAAAUAACUUCUUUUGUAAAUUGAUUUCAUUUCCUCUAUUUCAAAGACU